rnacentral:rRNA from 1 species
GUGUCAGCCGCCGCGGUAAUACGGGGGGGACGAGCGUUGUUCGGAUUUACUGGGCGUAAAGGGCGCGUAGGCGGGUCUUCAAGUCGGAUGUGAAAACUAUCAGCUUAACUGGUAGCCUGCAUUUGAUACUGUUGAUCUUGAGUACGGGAGAGGAGAGUGGAAUUCCAGGUGUAGCGGUGAAAUGCGUAGAUAUCUGGAAGAACACCAGUAGCGAAGGCGGCUCUCUGGACCGAUACUGACGCUCAAGCGCGAAGGCUUGGGGAGCAAACAGGAUUAGAUACCCGCGUAGUCC